rnacentral:rRNA from 1 species
CGGUUGAUCCUGCCAGUAGUCAUAUGCUUGUCUCAAAGAUUAAGCCAUGCAUGUCUAAGUAUAAGCAAUUAUACCGUGAAACUGCGAAUGGCUCAUUAAAUCAGUUAUCGUUUAUUUGAUAGUACUUUACCACUUGGAUAACCGUGGUAAUUCUAGAGCUAAUACAUGCUAAAAACCCCGACUUCGGAAGGGGUGUGUUUAUUAGAUAAAAAACCAAUGCCCUUCGGGGCUCUUUGGUGAUUCAUGAUAACCUAACGGAUCGCAUGGCCUUGCGCCGGCGACGGUUCAUUCAAAUUUCUGCCCUAUCAACUUUCGAUGGUAAGGUAUUGGCUUACCAUGGUUUCAACGGGUAACGGGGAAUUAGGGUUCGAUUCCGGAGAGGGAGCCUGAGAAACGGCUACCACAUCCAAGGAAGGCAGCAGGCGCGCAAAUUACCCAAUCCCGACACGGGGAGGUAGUGACAAUAAAUACUGAUAUAGGGCUCUUUUGGGUCUUGUAAUUGGAAUGAGUACAAUUUAAACCCCUUAACGAGGAACAAUUGGAGGGCAAGUCUGGU